GAGCUGUCACCAAAAGCUGAUGGCAGGGUGAUAACUCCACUCCUGCACCCUCUGAGAGAUGCAAAGGCAGCCAGUGUGAGCAUUUCCCUGCACUCAAGGGGAAUUUUUAACAGGUUCAGGCAGAUAUUUCUGUGCCUGUGUGUGAAUUGAUUCAAAUACCCUCACAAGCACAGCAGCGAAGGUGCUAUCUUGAAUCUGCAAUUAGGUCUCUCUGGUAAUUGUAAUAAAUCCUAUCAAAUUACUUUAUAAAUGUUAAAUUAGUCAAUGAUUAAGUGCUGCUAAACCCUUUAGCACCCUUACCCUUUGCACCUUUACUAUUUUGCGUGCCUGGCCUCCACGUAAAUCAUUCUGGACUGAUUUCUAAUCCGAUUUUCCUUUGUGUGCUUCACCCAUGUAAUGAGUAAUGGAGUCAUUCUUGCCACUGAACUCUGUUAAAUUACACCUUUACAAAUUUAUGUUAAAACCUGCUCUCACUAAUACCUUUGCCAGUGAUUCUCUAAGCAGCCUAACACACUCAUUUGUCACAUCCAUAAGCACACAACGCUUCAAACUGUGUUGAGAAGAGCCUUGAGUUAACUCCUGUAAGGGCUUUCCUCAGCUCACCACUUGUGCAGUCUGAUUGCUGCUUAUUCCUUGCUUUUAGGGCUUUUCUCCUCCUCCUUUCCUCCUCUGAAUUUGGAGCAGUACUUUGAAAAGAGCUGAGACAACACCUUAGAUGCAGACUUGUAUCUUCCAGCAGAGUUUUCAGUAUGGUUGGUGCAUAUGGGUAAAAAGGAGGGGUUCUGCAGAUCAGUUUCCAAAUGGAAUUUUACAACCUUCUUUGGCAAGAGAAGACAACCACGUGCUGAAACCAGUUCAGGGCAGGUUCUGGAUAUCUUCCUGGACCUGCAGAGGGGGCAAAAUCUCCACAUUGCUUAGAAGGAGCAGAAUUAUUUCAUUCUCCUGAUAUAUAUUUCCUUCUCUGGUAACUUGUACCAAUACUUCACCAGCACCAAGAUCCUCACUAGAAAUGUUAUUGUAACAAAAAUGGAGAUAAAAGCAUUUAUUACUGCAGUUAGGGCAGUUGCCAUUUGAUUUGCAGAAGUGUUUUACUCUUCAAUAUCUGAAC